rnacentral:pre_miRNA from 1 species
UUUGGGGGAAAUAGUGGUCUGUUAAGUUGGGGAAAAAGACAUCAUCCCUUGAGAUAAAAUUAGGUUUGUUUCUUUUUACUCCUAAAAUCUUUUUACCGUGGAUAAAAAGAAUCAAUAUGGGGGUAUAAAAGGAACCAAAUUUAAAUUAAACUCAAGGGGUCUUGAUGCCGUUUUCUCCCACAGGACGGAUCACUAUUUUCCCCAAG